rnacentral:rRNA from 1 species
CCUACGGGGGGCUGCAGUGGGGAAUAUUGGACAAUGGGGGCAACCCUGAUCCAGCCAUGCCGCGUGUGUGAAGAAGGCCCUCGGGUUGUAAAGCACUUUCAGUGAGGAAGAACGCCUGGUGGUUAAUACCCAUCAGGAAAGACAUCACUCACAGAAGAAGCACCGGCUAACUCCGUGCCAGCAGCCGCGGUAAUACGGAGGGUGCGAGCGUUAAUCGGAAUUACUGGGCGUAAAGCGCGCGUAGGUGGCUUGAUAAGCCGGUUGUGAAAGCCCCGGGCUCAACCUGGGAACGGCAUCCGGAACUCUCAACCUAGAGUGCAGGAAAGGAAGGUAGAAUUCCCGGUUUAGCGGUGAAAUGCGUAGAGAUCGGGAGGAAUACCAUUAACUAAGGCGGCCUUCUGGACUGACACUGACACUGAGGUGCGAAAGCGUGGGUAGCAAACAGGAUUAGAUACCCGGGUAGUC